CAAUAGCGUAUAUUAAAGUUGUUGCGGUUAAAAGCUCGUAGUUGGAUUUCUGCUGAGGACGACCGGUCCGCCCUCUGGGUGAGUAUCUGGCUUGGGCCUUUGGCAUCUUCUUGGGAGAAACGUAGCUGCACUUGACUGUGUGGUGCGGUAUCCAGGACUUUACUUGAGGAAAUUAGAGUGUUUCAAGCAGGCACACGCCUUGAAUACAUUAGCAUGGAAUAAUAAGAUAGGACCUUGGUUCUAUUUUGUUGGUUUCUAGAGCUGAGGUAAUGAUUAAUAGGAUAGUUGGGGGCAUUCGUAUUUAACUGUCAGAGGUGAAAUUCUUGGAUUUGUUAAAGACGAACUUCUGCGAAAAAGCUUUUACCAAAGAUGUUUUCAUUUAAUCAAAGAACGAAAGUUAGGGGAUCGAAGACGAUUAGAUACC
rnacentral:rRNA from 1 species